CCUACGGGGGGCUGCAGUGAGGAAUAUUGGUCAAUGGGCGAGAGCCUGAACCAGCCAUGCCGCGUGCAGGAAGACGGCCCUACGGGUUGUAAACUGCUUUUGUUUGGGAAGAAAAGGCGCUACGUGUAGUGCACUGACGGUACCAGAUGAAUAAGCAUCGGCUAACUCCGUGCCAGCAGCCGCGGUAAUACGGAGGAUGCGGGCGUUAUCCGGAUUUAUUAGUUUGAAAGGGUGUGUAUAAGUCAGGCGUGAAAUCCCCCAGCUUAACUGGGAAACGGCCAUAGAUACAGGUGUUCUUGAGUACAGUUGAAGUAGGCGGAAUGUGUAAUGUAGCGGUGAAAUGCUUAGAUAUUACACAGAACACCGAUUGCGAAGGCAGCUUGCUAAGCUGUUACUGACGCUGAUGCACGAAAGCGUGGGGAGCGAACAGGAUUAGAUACCCUGGUAGUC
rnacentral:rRNA from 1 species